rnacentral:snoRNA from 1 species
UCUACACAUGACGACACUGUAAAGCAACCAGAGUCCGAAUAAAAAGACUGCUGCCUCCUUAUCUCAUGUACC